rnacentral:rRNA from 1 species
UACGUAGGGACCAAGCGUUGUUCGGAUUUACUGGGCGUAAAGGGCGCGUAGGCGGCAAUUCAAGUCAUCUGUGAAAUCUCCGGGCUUAACUCGGAACGGUCAGAUGAUACUGCUUUGCUAGAGUGCGGAAGGGGCAAUCGGAAUUCUCGGUGUAGCGGUGAAAUGCGUAGAUAUCGAGAGGAACACCAGAGGUGAAGACGGGUUGCUGGGCCGACACUGACGCUGACAGCGCGAAAGCCAGGGGAGCAAACGGG